GAACAUUCCAGUCAGGAUGAGUUUCAGCAAAUUAGUGACGUUUGUCAGUAAAUCGAGCAGUGUCAUACGCGAGUUUGACAUUUCUUUAAUUAUACAUUGUAAAAUUUCAGAACUAGUUCAUGGGAAAAGGGGCGUUUACAUUUGCCGGUCCAAAUUGUUUGCUAUAGCUAGAUCUCAAUCCAUGGGUGCACUCCUAUUCUGCAACGCCUCUGCCUUAACUUUCCCCCGUUAAGUUCGUGGCCUUCAUUUCACCAGUUGUAAUAGCUAGCUUAGCAAUAUGAGAUUAGUAUAUAGUUUGAGCAAACCUCUAUAGAAUCUAUUUAGUUUUAACUUAAUAUAUGUAGUCUCCGGUAUUCAUCAGUGGACUGUUAUUUAUCCAGAUGAUCUUGAUACGCGGAAAAGUACUGGCACUAGUUGUCAAUAGAAAUCCAUUUUAUGAUUAAAACAACUGAAUAUCUCCUGUAAUAUACUUUAUUUCGAUUCCAUAUUUUUGUCAGCGCUAGAGUUCUCAUAACCAAACAUACUUACAAAAUUUCAACUAGUUUCAUAAAGAAUAACGAAAGAUAUAAUUGACUGAAUACAUCAAAAUGGAUUUCUAUUCGGACAACCCUUUCUGAGCGCUGAUUGGCUAAAAUACGAACACGAGAUCACCUGGAUACUGGUGAUAUGGCGUGCAAUUUGUAUCAUCUUUGACGUGUGUAAAUUAUGGUACCAAUGUUGACUGUUGUAUAUGCUUAUAUAGAAUUUGGCAAAAUUAAAAAUAAAUAUAAAUUAUUCAUUCGCAAAACCUGUUCAUGUAUAAUCUACAUGUUGAGAUUCACUAAGCAUAUGAUGCUCAAUUCAUAGUCAGCAUGAUGAGAACUAGAGCAUAAUGUUGAUUAUCAGUCACAUCGACUUAUAAUUAAUGUUUUUUCGUUGUUGAAGACAGCAA